rnacentral:rRNA from 1 species
GAUGAACGCUAGCGAUAGGCUUAACACAUGCAAGUCGAGGGGCAGCACAUGAGUGGCAACACGAUGGUGGCGACCGGCGCACGGGUGAGUAACACGUAUGCAACCUGCCCAUAACUGGGGGAUAACCCGUCGAAAGGCGGACUAAUACCGCAUGACAACGAUGAUCCGCAUGGUGAUUCGUUUAAAGAUUUAUCGGUUAUGGAUGGGCAUGCGUUCCAUUAGGUAGUUGGCAGGGUAACGGCCUACCAAGCCUACGAUGGAUAGGGGUUCUGAGAGGAAGGUCCCCCACACUGGUACUGAGACACGGACCAGACUCCUACGGGAGGCAGCAGUGAGGAAUAUUGGUCAAUGGGCGAGAGCCUGAACCAGCCAAAUCGCGUGAAGGAUGAAGGUAUUAUGUAUUGUAAACUUCUUUUGUCGGGGAAUAAAGUGCAGCACGUGUGCUGUCUUGUAUGUACCCGAAGAAUAAGGAUCGGCUAACUCCGUGCCAGCAGCCGCCGCAGUAA